CUACGGAGGGCGCGAACGUUGCUCGGAAUCAUUGGGCGUAAAGCGCACGUAGGCGGCCUGAUAAGUCGGAUGUGAAAGCCCACGGCUCAACCGUGGAAGUGCAUUCGAAACUGUCAGGCUUGAGUAUGGGAGAGGGUUGCGGAAUUCCCGGUGUAGAGGUGAAAUUCGUAGAUAUCGGGAGGAACACCAGCGGCGAAGGCGGCAGCCUGGACCAAUACUGACGCUGAGGUGCGAAAGCGUGGGGAGCAAACAGGAUUAGAAACCCUAGUAGUCC
rnacentral:rRNA from 1 species